rnacentral:rRNA from 1 species
CCCUUAGAUGUUCUGGGCCGCACGCGUGCUACACUGAGUAAUUCAAUGGGUAAGGGAACGCUAGAGCAUUACCUAAUCUUGAAAUUUGCUCGUGAUGGGGAUCGACGGUUGCAAUUUUCCGUCGUGAACGAGGAAUACCUUGUAGGCGCAUGUCAUCAUCAUGCGCCGAAUACGUCCCUGCCCUUUGUACACACCGCCCGUCGCUCCUACCGAUUGAGUGAUCCGGUGAGGCUCUGGGACCUGGACGGAAAGAGCGUUUCGCUUGUUCUGUCUGGGAAACUUGGUCGAACCUUAUCAUUUAGAGGAAGGAGAAGUCGUAACA